AGCUUUGCGCAGUGGCAAUAACGUAGCCAGUGAGGUUUAUCCAAGGUGUGAUCAUUGCUAAUUGAAAUAAAUAAAUAAAUA
rnacentral:snRNA from 1 species